UACAUGGGGUGCAAACGUUGCUCGGAAUUAUUGGGCGUAAAGCGCACGUAGGCGGUUUGUUAAGUCGGAUGUGAAAUCCCUCGGCUCAACUGAGGAAGUGCACCCGAAACUGGCAGGCUUGAGUACUAAAGAGGGUCGCGGAAUUCCCGGUGUAGAGGUGAAAUUCGUAGAUAUCGGGAGGAACACCGGUGGCGAAGGCGACUACCUGGCCUGUUCUUGACGCUGAGGCGCGAAAGCUAGGGGAGCAAACGGG
rnacentral:rRNA from 1 species